rnacentral:sRNA from 1 species
GCCAGGCAUUGUGGUGGGCGCCUGUUGUCCCAGCUACUUGGGAGGCAGAGGCAGGAGACUCACUUGAGCCCAGGAGUUGGAGGUUGCUGUGAGCUGUGAUGCCAUGGCACUCUACCCAGGGGGAUAGCUUGAGGCUCUGUCUCAAAAAAAAAGAGACAGAGUCUUACUUUAUCACCCUCGGUAGAGUACUGUGGCGUCACAACUCACAGCAACCUCCAGCUCCUGGGUUUAGGCGAUUCUCUUGC